rnacentral:rRNA from 1 species
ACGAACGCUGGCGGCGUGCCUAAUACAUGCAAGUAGAACGCACAGUUUAUACCGUAGCUUGCUACACCAUAAACUGUGAGUUGCGAACGGGUGAGUAACGCGUAGGUAACCUGCCUGGUAGCGGGGGAUAACUAUUGGAAACGAUAGCUAAUACCGCAUAAUAUUGAUUAUUGCAUGAUAAUUGAUUGAAAGAUGCUAUUGCAUCACUACCAGAUGGACCUGCGUUGUAUUAGCUAGUAGGUGAGGUAACGGCUCACCUAGGCGACGAUACAUAGCCGACCUGAGAGGGUGAUCGGCCACACUGGGACUGAGACACGGCCCAGACUCCUACGGGAGGCAGCAGUAGGGAAUCUUCGGCAGUGGACGAAAGUCUGACCGAGCAACGCCGCGUGAGUGAAGAAGGUUUUCGGAUCGUAAAGCUCUGUUGUAAGAGAAGAACGGGUGUGAGAGUGGAAAGUUCACACUGUGACGGUAUCUUACCAGAAAGGGACGGCUAACUACGUG